CUCAAGGUGGGGGUGUCCCUCAGCCUAGAUUGCAAGAGGGCACAGGCCAGGCCGAGGGACCCCAUCAGUUCACG
rnacentral:pre_miRNA from 1 species